GAUGAUGUGAGCCACUGAUAGUAUUCUUUGGAUGGAUCAUAUGAGAUUCAGAAAUGGAAAUUAUGAUUGGGUUUCUCCUGAACAUAUUUUUAAAGACUUUAGGAAGAGGAAGUUCUAAUAUGUCCUGGACUUCUCACCAAGGUUAGGACAAUUUCAGAAGGGAAUUAUGAUAUAAGAAGCUAAAGG